GGAUCCGUAGCGCAGUUAGGACAGCGCAUCUGCCUCCUAAGCAGGUGGUCGAGGGAUCGAAGCCCUCCGGAUCCGCCA
rnacentral:tRNA from 1 species